rnacentral:rRNA from 1 species
UACGGAAGGCAGCAGUGGGAAUAUUGCACAAUGGGCGAAAGCCUGAUGCAGCUAUGCCGCGUGUAUGAAGAAGGCCUUAGGGUUGUAAAGUACUUUCAUCGGGGAGGAAAAACAAAACUAAUAAUUUUAUUUCUUGACGUUACCCGAAAAAGAAGCACCGGCUAACUCCGUGCCAGCAGCCGCGGUAAUACGGAGGGUGCUAGCGUUAAUCAGAAUUACUGGGCGUAAAGAGCACGUAGGUGGUUUUUUUAAGUCAGAUGUGAAAUCCCUGGGCUUAACCUAGGAACUGCAUUUUGAAACUGAAAUACUAGAGUAUCGUAGAGGGAGGUAGAAUUCUAGGUGUAGCGGUGAAAUGCGUAGAUAUCUGGAGGAAUACCUGUGGCGAAAGCGGCCUCCUAAACGAAUACUGACAACUGAGGUGCGAAAGCGUGGGGAGCAAACAGGGAUUAGAUACC